CAGAAAUGGCAAGUGAAGACAAAUAUAGUGCAGGCUGCCUGCAGGGAGAGUGCACGGGGGAACUUCAGAUGCUAUUUUUGGUGUUUUGUGUCUGCCACUGACAGUAUUUCUAAUAUUUGUUUUUCCUUAAAAACCAUGUUUGGAGUUGGGAAUUUUAUUUUUUUAUUAUUAUUGUUGUUGUUGUUAAAAAAGAUCCCUUCCCUGGAGAAAGGGAUGGGUGCCUUGUCUGAGCCCAGCUCUGCAGAACUAGUGGGUGCCAGGACCCUGGUCGGCACAGUGGGAGGGUGAAGGCACAUGGAGGAUGUUGCCUUCUCCACUGGGAGCAGAGUUCGGUACAUCUCACUCCCAGGCGCUGCACAGAGGCCAAUGUGAGCCAAACCCUGAUUUAAUUCCAAUCCGUGGGAACCUCAUGGGGGGUACAGGAAAGUUCAGUGUGCUUGCUAAUGACAAAAGGAAACUCUCCCACGCUACCGAGCCCGUGCUGCACCAUGGGGGCCGGCAGCCCCAGCCCUGCAGCAAGCUCCAGUGCUCAGCACCAGUGCACUGAGCUUUGCUGGAUCCCAGCCAGCACCAGGACACUCCCAAAACCCAGGGGACCCAAGUGGGUCCUGCAGGAAAAUCACUCACCCUGGAGGGGAGCAGCUCCAGGCUGCAAAAUCAUAAAAUCCAGGCACAGGUGAGAGCCUGUACAUGCUGGAGCCCAGCGGUGGGGAGACAUUGAGGUGCUGGAGCGUGUCCAGAGAAGGGCGACCAAGCUGGCGAAGGGCCUCAAGAACAAGUCUUAUGAGGAGCAGCUGAGGGAACUGGGGCUGUUCAGUCUGAAGAAAAGGAGGCUGUGGGGAGACCUCAUCACCCUCUGCAACUACCUGGAAGGACCUUGUAAAGAGGUCCAGCCACACUCCCCAAGGUGCUGUGUCCACAACCUGCCCUGUCCCACUGAGCAUCUCCAGAAGAAGAGCUUGGUGCUAUGCUGGGCACAUGCCCUCUGCUUGGCAUGUCCCAGCUGGGAAGGUUUCAGCUGGUCUUGCAGAUGUACCAGGGAGGAGCUCUGCAGCGUUUGGGACCAGUCCAAGGGGCGAGGACUCGCAAGCGCCCACUUGCAGCAGCAGGGCUGCUCACUUUGUCCAGGACCCGGCACCAGCCUGAGCUUCGUUCAGCCUCCCCUCCCCUGCCACCCUUUCAUCUGCCAUUAAAAUCAAAAGAGGCCACAGGGAGCCACAGCGAAGCCAAACCAGAUGCCACUCAGAGCCUGUACCAAGGAGAUGUCAUUCAGAGCUGUAGCAGGGUGCUGAGCAAUGGGGAGCAGAGGGGACAGUCUUCAGGUCCAUGUCCCUGCCUGUCAAGUGGCUUCAGGAUCUGUCCCAUGAGCUACCCACACACAGACGAGUCCCUGCCCAGUGUCCUGUGUCCUGGCAGGACUGCAGGCAGUCCUGGCACAGGCAUUUUCAGCCGGGUUUGAG